AUGCAGCGAAGAUUCCUUGAUGCGAUAGCCGUUGUUCAGAGAUACGAGAAGCCUGAUUACUUAAUCACUAUGACUUGCAACCCUUACUGGGAGGAGAUAACUUCCAGACUUGCACCCGGACAAACACCACAAGACCGUCCUGACCUGGUGGCCAGAGUAUGUAGGGCCAAGAUGCGGAGUCUGAAAGAUCUUAUGAUAAAAAAGAAGUACUUUGGUCCGGUUGCGGCGUAUGCUCAUGUUACCGAGUUCCAAAAAAGGGGUCUA
rnacentral:rRNA from 1 species